GGCUCAGAUUGAACGCUGGCGGAAUGCUUACACAUGCAAGUCGAACGGUAGAGGGGGCAACCCCUUGAGAGUGGCGAACGGGUGAGUAAUAUAUCGGAACGUGCCCAGUCGUGGGGGAUAACGUAGCGAAAGCUACGCUAAUACCGCAUACGAUCUAUGGAUGAAAGCGGGGGAUCGCAAGACCUCGCGCGAUUGGAGCGGCCGAUAUCAGAUUAGGUAGUUGGUGAGGUAAAGGCUCACCAAGCCGACGAUCUGUAGCUGGUCUGAGAGGACGACCAGCCACACUGGGACUGAGACACGGCCCAGACUCCUACGGGAGGCAGCAGUGGGAAUUUUGGACAAUGGGCGCAAGCCUGAUCCAGCAAUGCCGCGUGCAGGAUGAAGGCCUUCGGGUUGUAAACUGCUUUUGUACGGAACGAAACGGUGAGCUCUAAUACAGUUUGCUAAUGACGGUACCGUAAGAAUAAGCACCGGCUAACUACGUG
rnacentral:rRNA from 1 species